GCUAUGUUUAUGUUCUUCAGUGUGGAAAAGAAUUCUCCUCCUUCUCAGGAUUCACAAUGUAGGACAAACUAAAGACAUAAACAGCAAGGUCAAGGGGAAAGCCCGCGAUGGCUGUGAACUCAGCAUGCUGCUGUAGCCCAGAGAGCCUCUGAGAAAGGGUAAUCCCCCAAAAGAAACACUCUGAAAUUGGCCCUGAAGUGUCAACAAGGUCACGUGUUUAACUGAAAAUUGAAAGCUCAUCUCUCAAAUGUUCCCUGAAAGUGCAGACUUUGUACCAGGAAUGAUAGAGAACCAGGCAGUCUCUUCCCCUUAGAAGCUCACGGUCCAUUGGAAAAGAUAAACAAGCAUCAGUCAGCUAUACUCUCCACAGCAGUGCUGCUGACUUUCUCUUCAUGUAAAACUCCAGUGCUGAUUUUGUAGCCAAUUUGCACAGAGUCCAUUUGCGUCGGAGACUCUCUCUUUGUUGGAUCAGGCCCUCCCCAGAAAGAGGCUUCCCGUGGCAGCCACUGUGUGACACCUGGAAAAUCUUGCUUGGUCCUCACUGCAUGUGUCCACAUUCAGCUCAUUCUUCAACGUCUGCGCUCUGUCCUAUUUCUUCCAUAGAGUUUCCCCAGAAGCUUCAAUGUGAACCGCUCUCCUC
rnacentral:lncRNA from 1 species